AAGUCGUAACAAGGUUUCCGUAGGUGAACCUGCGGAAGGAUCAUUACUGAAUGAANUUGGAGCUGGUUGUGCUGGCAUUAAUUUGCAUGUGCACGCCUCUCCUUCAUCCACACACACCUGUGCACCUGUGAGAUGGGGAGCUUCGGCGACCCGUCUACUUUCACACAAAAUCAUUUUAAAAACCUGAAUGUAUCUGAUGUAAAACAUCUUAAACUAAGUUUCAACAACGGAUCUCUUGGCUCUCGCAUCGAUGAAGAACGCAGCGAAAUGCGAUAAGUAAUGUGAAUUGCAGAAUUCAGUGAAUCAUCGAAUCUUUGAACGCACCUUGCGCUCCUUGGAAGUCCGAGGAGCAUGCCUGUUUGAGUAUCAUGAAAUUAUCAAGAGCAUCUUUUGUUCAUUCAAUUGAUGUGCCUUGGAUGUGGGGGUUGCAGAUUCACGUCUGCUCCUCUUAAAUNCAUUAGCUGGAUCUCUGUUAGCUUGGUUCCACUCAGCGUGAUAAGUAUCAUUCGCUGAGGACACUGUAAAAGGUGGCCAGGAUUUCAGAUGAGCCGCUUCUAACCGUCCCUCUGGGACAUAACCCAUUUAUGAUCUGAUCUCAAAUCAGGUAGGACUACCCGCUGAACUUAAGCAUAUCAAUAAGCGGAGGAAAAGAAACUAACAAGGAUUCCCCUAGUAACGGCGAGUGAAGCGGGAAGAGCUCAAAUUUAAAAUCUGGCAGUGUAUUCUGUCCGAGUUGUAGUCUAGAGAAGCAUCAUCCGUGCUGGACCAUGUACAAGUCUCUUGGAACAGAGCGUCAUAGAGGGUGAGAAUCCCGUCCUUGACAUGGACUCCCAGUGCUUUGUGUUGAGCUCUCAACGAGUCGAGUUGUUUGGGAAUGCAGCUC
rnacentral:rRNA from 1 species